UAUUUUGAUUAUAUCUUUGAAUAUGAUCUAUAGGAUUGUAUUAAAAUUGAAUAAAGCUUUGUUUAUAUAUUGAUAAUGACAGUAUAUAUAUCGUGUCUUGACUAAUUGCGUGCCAGCAGUCGCGGUAAUACGUAAGAGACUAGUGUUAUUCAUCUUAAUUAGGUUUAAAGGGUACCUAGACGGUCAAUAUAGCUUCUAAAAUGUUAGUACUUGACUAGAGUUUUAUGUAAGAGGGCAGUACUUGAGGAGGAGAGAUGAAAUUCUAUGAUACCAAAGGGACUCGGUAAAGGCGAAGGCAGCCCUCUAUGUAAAAMCUGACGUUAAAGGACGAAGGCACAGAGCACAAACAGGAUUAGAUACCCAAGUAGUCUUUGCAGUAAAUSAUGAAUGCCAUAGGUUAGAUUAASAUUUAAUAUUAUMAUUYGAMAUUAGUAUUAAACAUUAUUUGGUCUAUAAAUGAMAGUGUAAGCAUUUCACCUCAAGAGUAAUGUGGCAACGCAGGAACUGAAAUCACUAGACCGUUUCUGACACCAGUAGUGAAGUAUGUUAUUUAAUUCGAUAAU
rnacentral:rRNA from 2 species